rnacentral:lncRNA from 1 species
CGCAUUUUCUUUUGUCCUGAUCCAAGCUGACUUGGCAAGCCCAGCCGCCGCCAUACUCUCGUAGGUCGUCAGUCCAAUCUCGCAUACGUGGAGACCGCUGGGCAGUCAAUCUCCUCGCAGCCGAUUGGUCCUCUUAGAGUUUACCUACCUCAGGGGCCGGCACGCGGAAGUGUCACGCUUCCCGGGACUUGACAUUAUAUUAUUUUUUGGAAAAUAAUUACCCACGCAUGUGCAGUUUUCUUCUGACCUGAAUUAUCACAGAAAACGAAAAAAUGUAUGUUUAAUUAUUAAUAUCGUAGAAGGUGAGCUCAACCGAAUGC